UGGGGAAUAUUGGACAAUGGGGGGAACCCUGAUCCAGCCAUGCCGCGUGUGUGAAGAAGGCCUCAUGGUUGUAAAGCACUUUAAGCGAGGAGGAGGGUACUGGUAUUAAUACUACCAGCUACUGGACGUUACUCGCAGAAUAAGCACCGGCUAACUCUGUGCCAGCAGCCGCGGUAAUACAGAGGGUGCGAGCGUUAAUCGGAUUUACUGGGCGUAAAGCGUGCGUAGGCGGCUAAUUGAGUCGGAUGUGAAAUCCCCGAGCUUAACUUGGGAGUUGCAUUCGAUACUGGUUAGCUAGAGGGUGGGAGAGGAUGGUAGAAUUCCAGGUGUAGCGGUGAAAUGCGUAGAGAUCUGGAGGAAUACCGAUGGCGAAGGCAGCCAUCUGGCCUAACACUGACGCUGAGGUACGAAAGCAUGGGGAGCAAACAGG
rnacentral:rRNA from 1 species